rnacentral:lncRNA from 1 species
UUUUUUAAAUUUUAGUCUUUCUAAUAUGUAUGUAGUGGUAUUGCAUUGUGGCUUUAAUUUGCAUUUCCCCAAUGCCUAAUGAUAUUGAACAGCUUUUCAUGUGCUUAUUUUACCUUCCACAUAUCUUCUUUGGUGGAUUUUCUUUCUUUUUCUUUUCUUUUUUUUUUUUUUUUUAAGAUUUUAUUUAUUCAUGAGAGACACACAGAGAGAGAGAGAGAGAGAGAGAGAGAGGCAGAGAUAUAGGCAGAAGGAGAAGCAGGCUCCACUCAGGGAACCUGAUGCGGGACCCGAUCCUGGGACUCCAGGAUCACGCCCUGGGCUGAAGGCAGAAGCUAAACCACUGAGCCACCCGGGCUGCCCUUUGGUGGAUUUUCUAUCCAGAUAUUUUGCCCAUUUUUUAGUUGGGUUGCUUGUUCUAAAUAUCAGGCUUUAAGAGUUCUUUAUAUAUUCUGAUACUGUGAAGCACAAGGCAAAGCCAGUCUUCCAGAUUCAGCUAGUAAAGAAACAAUGAGCCCUUUUUUGACUCAGUUUACUCUUUACAUUGAGUGAAAAGACAAGUAGCUUAAAAGAAUCAGCUCUCUGUGGCCUUUGUGUGGGAUGACACUGAAACAAAAGAAGCCAUAAGAGUCCCGAUGAGUAUAGUAGGAAUGAUAGGAUGCUCUAUUGCUGAGGAUUCCAUUCCAUGGUGCUGCUCAUCACUUUUAUAGCUAUACAUGUGCCUUAAUGCUAGCAAAGCAGAAAAGCCACAUAACCGAUAAGAACCCUGAAAUUAUGAGUGCUAUCUCAGGACUCUCCAGGGUUGAUAGGGAAGCCAGAGAGAAGUAGCCUUAUAGCAGCACCUCUCAGAUCUCCCAUGCUCUCAUGUUCCAGGGGGACCACAAGGCAUUCUGUCAAGAUUCAGCUGCUAUUCAAGCCUUGCCCAGGUGGCCCAUGUGGCAACAUGUGAAGUCAUCAGGCUCUGGCUCUUCCUCAAUAGAUACAAGUCUUUUGUCAUAUAUGUGACUUGUAAAUAUUUUCUCCCUAUCUGUAGCUAGUUCUGAGAUGGGUUUCAUAGAACAAAAAUUUUAACUUUGAUGAAUUCAGAUUUAUAAAUUUUUUUCUUGUGAAUUUGUAUCAUAUCUAAGAACCUUUUGCUCAAACUCAAGUCAUUAAAUUUUUCUCAUAUGUUUUCUUCCAAGUAUUUUGUAUUUUACAUUUUUCAUUUAGGGUUUCCAAGAUGGCUCACUCAGUUAAGGGUCCAACUCUUGAUCUCAGCUCAGGUCUUGAACUCAGGAUUGUGAAUUUUAGCCUGCAUUGGGCUCUACAUAAACAAACAAAAAACCAUUUAGAUCUAUAUUCCAUGUAGUAGUUUUUAUAGCACAUAAGGUUUAUGUAUAUAAUGGAAUAUUAGCCAUUUAGAAAUGACAAAUACCCACCAUUUGCUUCAACGUGGAUGGAACUGGAGGGUAUUAUGCUGAGUGAAGUAAGUCAAUCGGAGAAGGACAAACAUUAUAUGUUCUCAUUCAUUUGGGGAAUAUAAACAAUAGUGAAAGGGAAUAUAAGGGAAGGGAGAAGAAAUGUGUGGGAAAUAUCAGAAAGGGAGACAGAACAUAAAGACUCCUAACUCUGGGAAACGAACUAGGGGUGGAGGAAGGGGAGGAGGGCGGGGGGUGGGGGUGAAUGGGUGACGGGCACUGAGGGGGACACUUGACGGGAUGAGCAUACCAACUGUAUGUUGGUAAAUUGAACACCAAUAAAAAAUUAAUUUAUUAAAAGAUUUAUGUCAAGGUGCAUUUUUUUUUACUGAUGUAUAAUUCUGCUAGCGCCACUUGUUGAAAAGAGCAUGCUUGUUUUCAUCGACUUUCUUUUAAACUUUUGUGAAAAGUCAAUUGACCAUAUUCGUGUGGGUUUAUUUCUGGACUAUGUUCUGUUUCAUUGAUCUAUACAUCUCCUUCUUUGUCUUGGAGGGGUUUUAUGGAAGAUCUUAGAAUAAGAUAAUGCCAUUCCUCUAAUUUUAUUCUUCUUUUUCAAAAUUGUUUUGGCUGUUCUAAUCCUUUUCCCUUUCCAUACUAAUUUUUUUUAAUUUUUAUUUAUUUAUGAUAGUCACUUCACAGAGAGAGGCAGAGAGAGAAGCAGGCUCCAUGCACCGGGAGCCCCACGUGGGAUUCGAUCCCAGGUCUCCAGGAUCGCGCCCUGGGCCAAAGGCAGGCGCUAAGCCGCUGCGCCACCCAGGGUUCCCUCCAUACUAAUUUUUGAUUCAACUUUAUGUUUACAAAAUAUCCUGCUAGGGUUUUGAUUGGAAUUACAGUAAGUCUGUUAAUCAUUCUGAAGGAAUUUGCCAUUUUUACUAUGUUUAAUCUUCCAAUUCGUGAAUGGGAAUGACUCAAUUUAUUUAGAUCUUCUUUAUUUCUUCAGCAUUUUGUAGUUUUCAGCAUAGAGCAGCAUAGAGAUUCUAUAUGUGUUCAUUAUGCAUACAAUUUCUUUUUUCCUUUUUUUUUUUUUUUUUUUAGGGGAACAGCUACUGUAAAUUGUAUUGAUGUUUAGUUAUGACUUAAAGGUUUGUUUUGUUUUAAGGAGAGAGGGAGCACAAUGGCAGAAGGAGAGGGAGGAUCUUCAGCUAGGCAUGGAGCCUGACUCAGGGCUCAAUCUUACAACCCUGAGAUCAUGACCUGAGCUGAAACCAAGAGUUGGUAGCAUAAAUGACUGAGCUACCCAGGCACUCUGGCUUACAGGUUUCUGUUGCCAAUAUAAUUGAUUCUUGUUUGUUGACCUUGCAUCCUAUCUAUAAAUUCUAGGGGCUUUUCUGGGGAUUUUUUGUUGUUUGUUUUUUUUUUUUUUUUUCCUUUAGAUUCCCUGGGUUUUUCUAGAUAGACAAUAAUGUCAUCCACGAAUAGGGAUAGUUUAUUUCUUUUUAACCUGUAUGUCUUUUAUUAUUUUUUCUUUCUUUCUUCUAUUUUUCUCUGCCUUCUUUUCUUUCUCUCCCUCCAUUUCAUUCCUUCCUUUCUUUUUUUCUUAUUAUAGGACUUCCACUACAAUAUUAGCAUAGGAAUUGUGAAAAUGGACCUUCUUGUUUAUUUCUGAUCUUAGGGGGAAAGCAUUAUAACUUUCACAUUAAAUACAGGUUUUAAGUAGAUUUUUAGUAGAUGCCAUUGACCAGGUUUAAGUGGUUCUACUGUGUUCCUAAUUUGAUUAGAGUUUUUAACCAUUAAUGGAUGUUGAAUUCUGUUAAAUGCUUUUCAGUGUCAAUGGAUAUAAUCAUAUGGUUUUUCUUCUUUAGAGUGUUAAUAUUGUGGAUUACAUUGAUUGUAUUUUGAAUAUUGAACCAACCUUGCAUUUCUGCAAUAAACCCCAUAUGGUCAUUCUGUGUUAUGAUAUUUAAAUAUUGAUUCUCUUAAUAUAAUUUACUGGGAAUUUUUGCAUCUACAUAAGGAACAUUUAAAUGUAUUUUUUCUUCUUGAACUGUCUUUUCCUGCUUUAUUGUUAAAGUAAUGCUAAUCUUGAAAAAUGAUUUGGGAAUUAUUUCUUUUUCCUCCAUGCUAUUGAUUUGUUAGAAAAAACUUAGUCAUUUGUUUUGUGGAAUAUCCACCAUUAUUGAUACGCCUGAUUGAUCUUCCAUGGUGAUUUUAAUUUAUUAUUUUAUUUUAUUUAUCAUUUUCCUGUAAACUGAUAGAGCAAAAGAUUUGAUUAGAUUCAGGCCCAAUACUUUGGCCCAGAAAAUGUAAAGGGUGCUUUGAAUAUUUCAAUGCAUUGUGCUAGGAACAUAAAAUAUGUAAUUGUCUUAGAAAUACUGAGAUUGAUCAAUAGACUCAGAUAUUAUUAGUCUGAUACUUCCAUAAAAUUCCCUGUCAACAUUUUACCUAAUAAUUGUCUACUGAUAAUUAUUUAUAAAAUUCAUGAUUUCAUUUGGAGUUGUAAAGGAUGAUUUUGUAAUUUUUAACUCCUUUUGCAUGGAUUAACUUUCAUAAAGAACUUUCAUCAA